ACAUGCAGCCGAGCGGUAUUGUUUCUUCGGAAUGAGAGAGCGGCGUACGGGUGCGGAACACGUGUGCAACCUGCCUUUAUCUGGGGGAUAGCCUUUCGAAAGGAAGAUUAAUACUCCAUAAUAUAUUGAACGGCAUCGUUUAAUAUUGAAAGCUCCGGCGGAUAGAGAUGGGCACGCGCAAGAUUAGCUAGUUGGUGAGGUAACGGCUCACCAAGGCGAUGAUCUUUAGGGGGCCUGAGAGGGUGAUCCCCCACACUGGUACUGAGACACGGACCAGACUCCUACGGGAGGCAGCAGUGAGGAAUAUUGGUCAAUGGGUGCAAGCCUGAACCAGCCAUCCCGCGUGAAGGACGACUGCCCUAUGGGUUGUAAACUUCUUUUGUAUAGGGAUAAACCUACCCUCGUGAGGGUAGCUGAAGGUACUAUACGAAUAAGCACCGGCUAACUCCGUGCCAGCAGCCGCGGUAAUACGGAGGGUGCAAGCGUUAUCCGGAUUUAUUGGGUUUAAAGGGUCCGUAGGCGGACUUAUAAGUCAGUGGUGAAAGCCUGUCGCUUAACGAUAGAACUGCCAUUGAUACUGUAAGUCUUGAGUAUAUUUGAGGUAGCUGGAAUAAGUAGUGUAGCGGUGAAAUGCAUAGACAUUACUUAGAACACCAAUUGCGAAGGCAGGUUA
rnacentral:rRNA from 1 species